rnacentral:lncRNA from 1 species
AACAAUUAAACACAAAUCAUCAUAACAAGCUCAUAUCGAAGAAAAACUUAAAUGACAUCAAGACUUUCAAUCAUGCAUGUCUAGCUCAAAACAGCACCAAAUCACACGAUUCAAAGCUCAGAUUCAUCAGGACAACAAGAUCUUCAACAAUAUCAUAAUGAAUUCAAGAAUAAUUGAGAUCGAAUCCUGACCUCUUGAAGAACAG